GUAGGGGGCCAAACGUUGUCCGGAUUUAUUGGGCGCAAAGGGCUCGUAGGGCGGUUCAACAAGUCGGGUCGUGAAAUGCCGGGGGCUCAACCCCGGAACGCCGGUCGAAACUGUUGUGACUAGGGUCCCGGUAGAGGUGAGUGGAAUUCUCGGUGUAGCGGUGGAAUGCGCAGAUAUCGAGAGGAACACCAGUUGCGAAGGCGGCUCACUGGGCCGGUACCGACGCUAAGGAGCGAAAGCAUGGGGAGCAAACAGGAUUAGAUACCCUGGUAGUCCAUGCCGUAAACUGUGAACACUAGGUGUGGCGGAUCUAUUGAUGUCUGCCGUACCGUAGCUAACGCGUUAAGUGUUCCGCCUGGGGAGUACGGCCGCAAAGGCUA
rnacentral:rRNA from 1 species